AGCGAACGCUGGCGGCAGGCUUAACACAUGCAAGUCGAGCGGGCCCUUCGGGGUCAGCGGCAGACGGGUGAGUAACGCGUGGGAACGUGCCCUUCGGUUCGGAAUAACCCUGGGAAACUAGGGCUAAUACCGGAUACGCCCUUAUGGGGAAAGGUUUACCGCCGAAGGAUCGGCCCGCGUCUGAUUAGCUUGUUGGUGAGGUAAUGGCUCACCAAGGCGACGAUCAGUAGCUGGUCUGAGAGGAUGAUCAGCCACACUGGGACUGAGACACGGCCCAGACUCCUACGGGAGGCAGCAGUGGGGAAUAUUGGACAAUGGGGGCAACCCUGAUCCAGCCAUGCCGCGUGAGUGAUGACGGCCUUAGGGUUGUAAAGCUCUUUUACCCGGGACGAUAAUGACGGUACCGGGUGAAUAAGCCCCGGCUAACUUCGUGCCAGCAGCCGCCGUAA
rnacentral:rRNA from 1 species